CAGCAGCCGCCGCGGGAAUACGUAGGGUGCAAGCGUUAAUCGGAAUUACUGGGCGUAAAGCGUGCGCAGGCGGUUAUGUAAGUCAGAUGUGAAAUCCCCGGGCUCAACCUGGGAACUGCAUUUGAGACUGUAUGGCUAGAGUGUGUCAGAGGGGGGUAAAAUUUCACGUGUAGCAGUGAAAUGCGUAGAUAUGUGGAGGAAUACCGAUGGCGAAGGCAGCCCCCUGGGAUAACAUUGACGCUCAUGCACGAAAGCGUGGGGAGCAAACAGGAUUAGAUACCCCUGUAGUCCCUGUCUCUUAUAC
rnacentral:rRNA from 1 species